CGAGCCACACGAACGUUAUUCGGAAUUACUGGGCUUAAAGGGUGCGUAGGCGGUGCGGAAAGUUGGGUGUGAAAUCCCUCGGCUCAACCGAGGAACUGCGCCCAAAACUACCGUACUCGAGGAAGAUAGAGGUGAGCGGAACUUACGGUGGAGCGGUGAAAUGCGUUGAUAUCGUAAGGAACACCCGUGGCGAAAGCGGCUCACUGGGUCUUCUCUGACGCUGAUGCACGAAAGCUAGGGGAGCAAACGGGAUUAGAUACCCCCGGUAGUCCUAGCCGUAAACUCUGAGUACUGAAUUGAAGGGCCCUCCAUAGCCCUUCAGUUGUAGCGAAAGUGUUAAGUACCCCGCCUAGGGAGUAUGGUCGCAAGGCUG
rnacentral:rRNA from 1 species